rnacentral:rRNA from 1 species
AAAACAUCGCCUCUUGAUAAAAUAUAAGAGGUCCAGCCUGCCCAGUGACAUAUUAAACGGCCGCGGUACUCUAACCGUGCGAAGGUAGCACAAUAACUUGUUCUUUAAAUGGGGACUAGAAUCAACGGCAUCACGAGGGCUACACUGUCUCCUUUCUCUAAUCAGUGAAACUGAUCUCCCCGUGAAGAAGCGGGGAUAAAUAUAUUAGACGAGAAGACCCCAUGGAGCUUCAAACUCAAUAAUAACUCUUCUUACACAUAACCUAGAAACCCUUGAGAGAAACUAUCUAUUAGUUUUGGGCUGGGGUGACCGCGGAGUAAAACCCAACCUCCGUAAUGAAUAGAUUAACACCUUAAUCUAAGAAUUACACUUCUAAGAAUUAAUAAAUUAACAUAAAAUGAUCCAAUAAAUAUUUGAUCAACGAACCAAGUUACCCUGGGGAUAACAGCGCCAUCCACUUCAAGAGCUCCUAUCGACAAGUGGGUUUACGACCUCGAUGUUGGAUCAGGGUAUCCUAGUGGUGCAGCCGCUACUGAAGGUUCGUUUGUUCAACGAUUAAAACCCUAC